rnacentral:rRNA from 1 species
AGAGUUUGAUCAUGGCUCAGGAUGAACGCUAGCUACAGGCUUAACACAUGCAAGUCGAGGGGCAGCAUGACCUAGCAAUAGGUUGAUGGCGACCGGCGCACGGGUGAGUAACACGUAUCCAACCUACCGGUUAUUCCGGGAUAGCCUUUCGAAAGAAAGAUUAAUACCGGAUAGUAUAGCGAGAAGGCAUCUUCUUGUUAUUAAAGAAUUUCGAUAACCGAUGGGGAUGCGUUCCAUUAGUUUGUUGGCGGGGUAACGGCCCACCAAGACAUCGAUGGAUAGGGGUUCUGAGAGGAAGGUCCCCCACAUUGGAACUGAGACACGGUCCAAACUCCUACGGGAGGCAGCAGUGAGGAAUAUUGGUCAAUGGACGAGAGUCUGAACCAGCCAAGUAGCGUGAAAAGGAUGACUGCCCUAUGGGUUGUAAACUUCUUUUAUAUGGGAAUAAAGUGAGCCACGUGUGGCUUUUUGUAUGUACCAUACGAAUAAGGAUCGGCUAACUCCGUGCCAGCAGCAGC